AAGACCUUGCGCUUUUGGAGCGGCCGAUGCCUGAUUAGCUAGUUGGUGGGGUAAUGGCCUACCAAAGCUUCGAUCAGUAGCUGGUCUGAGAGGACGGCCAGCCACACUGGGACUGAGACACGGCCCAGACUCCUACGGGAGGCAGCAGUGGGGAAUUUUGGACAAUGGGCGCAAGCCUGAUCCAGCCAUGCCGCGUGAGUGAAGAAGGCCUUCGGGUUGUAAAGCUCUUUCAGCCGGGAAGAAAGGGUUGCGAUUAAUAAUCGCAAUUUAUGACGGUACCGGAAGAAGAAGCACCGGCUAACUACGUGCCAGCAGCCGCGGUAAUACGUAGGGUGCGAGCGUUAAUCGGAAUUACUGGGCGUAAAGGGUGCGCAGGCGGUUUUGUAAGUCAGAUGUGAAMUCCCCGGGCUUAACCUGGGAACU
rnacentral:rRNA from 1 species